rnacentral:rRNA from 1 species
CGGGUGAGUAACACGUGAGUGACAUACCCCGCAGUGGGGGAUAGCCCGCCGAAAGGCGGAUUAAUACCCCAUGGUAUCGCAAGAUUAAAGGUGGCUUCCGCUGCCGCUGCGGGAUUGGCUCGCGUCCUAUCAGUUAGUUGGUGAGGUAACGGCUCACCAAGGCGACGACGGGUAGCUGGUCUGAGAGGAUGAUCAGUCACACUGGAACUGAGACACGGUCCAGACACCUACGGGUGGCAGCAGUCGAGAAUAAUUCACAAUGGACGAAAGUCUGAUGGUGCAACGCCGCGUGGAGGAUGACGGUCUUCGGAUUGUAAACUCCUGUCAUCGGGGAGUAAGACCUGGCUGUGAAUAGCAGACAGGGUUGAUAGUACCCGAAGAGGAAGGGACGGCUAACUUCGUGCCAGCAGCCGCGGUAAUACGAAGGUCCCGAGCGUUGUUCGGAAUCACUGGGCGUAAAGGGAGCGUAGGCGGCAGGGUAAGUCAGAUGUGAAAUCCCGGGGCUCAACCCCGGAACGGUAUCCGAUACCGCCCUGCUUGAGUAGUGGAGGGGUAGCUGGAAUUCUCGGUGUAGCAGUGAAAUGCGUGGAUAUCGAGAGGAACACUCGUGGCGAAAGCGAGCUACUGGACAUUGACUGACGCUGAGGCUCGAAGGCCAGGGUAGCGAAAGGGAUUAGAUACCCCUGUAGUCCUGGCAGUAAACGGUGUGCGCUUGGUGUGAGGGGUUUCGACCCCCCUUGUGCCGGAGCUAACGCGUUAAGCGCACCGCCUGGGAAGUACGGUCGCAAGACUAAAACUCAAAGAAAUUGACGGGGACCCGCACAAGCGGUGGAGUAUGUGGCUUAAUUCGAUGCAACGCGAAGAACCUUACCUGGGCUUGACAUGCAUUGCUAAUCCGCUGAAAGGCGGUGAGUCUUCGGACACCUUGCACAGGUGCUGCAUGGCCGUCGUCAGCUCGUGUCGUGAGAUGUUGGGUUAAGUCCCGCAACGAGCGCAACCC